UACGUAGGGUGCGAGCGUUGUCCGGAAUUAUUGGGCGUAAAGGGCUCGUAGGCGGUUUGUCGCGUCGGGAGUGAAAACCUUGGGCUUAACUCAGGGCUUGCUUUCGAUACGGGCAGACUAGAGGUAUGCAGGGGAGAACGGAAUUCCUGGUGUAGCGGUGAAAUGCGCAGAUAUCAGGAGGAACACCGGUGGCGAAGGCGGUUCUCUGGGACGGUACUGACGCUGAGACGCGAAAGCGUGGGGAGCAAACAGG
rnacentral:rRNA from 1 species